UGAGAUUAAGCGCUUUGCGGACAGGUUUUGUUUGCUGUUACCUAUCCGGAGGCAGGCUCUCCCUGUGCUAGCAAACAAAUGUAUCUCGGCUGCCAGGUAGAGGCGAGUCAGCUGUAAUUAGCUACUAAAGCAGGAUCUCCCGAGUCACAGUUCAUUAGAGAGGCUAGCAGCUCAGAGCAGACCCAGAGAGCAAAGAUUUUUCCUUCUUUUCCUUUAAAGCCAACUAUGGAUCCACUUUUAAAGUUCUGGUUCUUCCAGUGCAGAGGGUGUAUUCCAGCUAUGGAUUAAGAAUCCUUACAAGAUUAAAAAUUCAACAUGCAGGUGAAAUUAGACACUGGAUUAGGAAGCUCAUCAACUACGUAAAUGUAAUCAGCACCUUCUGAAGCCUGACAUGUAGCAAAAAAGAAAUGAAUUACGAAAGAGUGGCGGCAGUCUGUCUGUGUCAGUGGGGUUGGUGCGGAGCCAGCGCCUGCAUCAGAAACCCUAUUCUUGGCAGGUUUCUGCAUGUUUCCUAUGACUUCUGGUAGACAAGCAGCUCAAUGGUUAAAGUAGCAGAGUCAUCUUCUGAAAGCCGUGAGACAGUGGCAGGGUGGUGAUGCCUCCUCACAGCAACAGGAGUAGUCAGUGCAGUUAGAGAAGAAAGAUAACAGGUCACGAGUUGAAACUGAAAAACCUGCCAAAAAUUACAGGUCAAUUUGCUGAAAUAAAACCACCUUUACUCUACAAUAAAACCAAUUUAGGCUCUUCGAGCACGUUUUCUGUGUGGAUUUUCAACUCAGCUUAGCAGCGACAGCCACGGAGGGAAGUUUGGUGUGGAGCGUAGGUCACAGUUACCCACGCUCACAACUGCUUCUCUGUGGGCUGCUAGUGCACACUGCGUAAGUCCCCUAAAUCUCCUGUGGGUGCCCAAACCUUCCCCCACAAGAGGUGGGACCAAAACCACAUGUGCCAUUGCUGUGAGCUGUUAGGAAACUCCUCCCUCUUGCUGAACUUUCCACACAGCCCAGGUUCCCGUUUGACAUUUUUCAAAGUUUAUGGCAAAGCUAGCUCAGCCACCUACACAGAUAUACACAUUUCAAGGAGUCAGAAGUUGGGAUUUUUAUGUUUAAAGAAAAAUUUAAUAUGAAAACCAUGACUCAAGUAGCAGCUGUGAAAAAUCUGUGCCUGUUUGGCCUGAUCCUUUUCCAAAGGGGAAGGAUUAGACCUUCAGAAGGUUUUUUAGAUAAGGCAAAUUCAUUCAGAGUGCCAUUACCAUUUACUGCAGUGAAUUUUGGGACGGGUCACAAUGGCACAGUUUCAGUGCUGUGUGUUGUAUAUCAAUACAAAACUGAUUAGAUAAACCUUUGCUGAUUGAAAGCAUUUUAUCAUUAUGAAGGUGUCUUUUGCUCCAGGGUGUAAACCAUUCAGCAAGUAGUUUCAUUUUAUUUCCUUGAGCUUUUUUAAUUUUCAGUUAAUUAGCUAGAAAUACACCACCUACAACAUGCUCC